AGUGAACGCUGGCGGUAGGCCUAACACAUGCAAGUCGAACGGCAGCACAGGAGAGCUUGCUCUCUGGGUGGCGAGUGGCGGACGGGUGAGGAAUACAUCGGAAUCUACUCUGUCGUGGGGGAUAACGUAGGGAAACUUACGCUAAUACCGCAUACGACCUACGGGGGAAAGCAGGGGAUCUUCGGACCUUGCGCGAUUGAAUGAGCCGAUGUAGGAUUAGCUAGUUGGCGGGGUAAAGGCCCACCAAGGCGACGAUCCGUAGCUGGUCUGAGAGGAUGAUCAGCCACACUGGAACUGAGACCCGGUCCAGACUCCUACGGGAGGCAGCAGUGGGGAAUAUUGGACAAUGGGCGCAAGCCUGAUCCAGCCAUACCGCGUGGGUGAAGAAGGCCUUCGGGUUGUAAAGCCCUUUUGUUGGAAAGAAAUCCAGCUGGCUAAUACCCGGUUGGGAUGACGGUACCCAAAGAAUAAGCACCGGCUAACUUCGUGCCAGCCGCCGCGGUAA
rnacentral:rRNA from 1 species